GCCCCUUGAGACCAUCUUUUACACAGUGGCCACAAUAGUUUCUAAAAAUGCAAGUUGGACUUUCUUACUUUUCUGUUUGAAAUUGCUCAUAGUUUCCAUCGCCCACAGAUGAAGGCCAGCUCCUUAAUAUGGUGCACCAGUGAUGUGACUGUUAUUUAUUUUUCCAGUAGACUUUUCCAGUGCUACUCUGCUCUUCCGUGACUUCAUGUGAUACUCCUUUUGUCUGGAACUUUCACCUGUGCACCCCUCCAGCUCCAUCUUCUUGGAUAACACUUGUUAACCUACUGCUAUUUGGCUCAGCGUUCACCUGACAGAGCUUCCCCUGACGGGUGCUCAAGGACCACCCUGGACCCUCACUCCCCCCACCGGGGCUGGACCUCGGCAAGAGACAAUUCAGUGGCUUUACAUGAAUCAGCUGCUGCAGUCAUCUUGUAAUUGUGAGGAAAACCAGCCUAAGAAAAAGAUGAUACACUGUAAUUGUACAAUGUAAAUACCUGCAUCGGUGAUGAGAUCCCUGGAGUAUUGAACUAACCCAGUGUGGAGCAUCUGUUCAGAGGUAUGCUAGAAGCUUCACAAAAAUGCUCACUUGAUUCUAACAACAGCCUGGAUGAGAGUUUUGUUUCUCACUCUGCAGGGCAGGAUGAUGAGCCUUAGUGAAGCUGAGCCCAGAAUCACAAAAUAAGUCAGUGGAAGGGCAAGUACUGGUCUCCUGAUUUGCUGGAUUCUGGAUCCUGGACUGAAAGGUCCAUGGAGCCAUGCCGUAUUGGGGUGGUUAUUCCAUGGCACUCUGCAGAGGGCGUAUCGGUUUGUUGUUGUUGGCAUUAACAAAAACCAAAGAGAC